rnacentral:rRNA from 1 species
AAUGAACGCUGGCGGCGUGCUUAACACAUGCAAGUCGAACGAGAAACCCCGGCUUGCCGGGGGAGUAAAGUGGCGCACGGGUGAGUAACGCGUGGGUAAUCUACCCUCGAAUUGGGGAUAACACAUCGAAAGGUGUGCUAAUACCGAAUAAGACGACGGUGGCCAAGGCCACCGGGGUCAAAGAUGGCCCCUGCCUGCAAGCUGUCGUUUGGGGAUGAGCCCGCGUCCCAUUAGCUAGUUGGUGGGGAAAGAGCCCACCAAGGCAACGGUGGGUAGCUGGUCUGAGAGGAUGGCCAGCCACACUGGAACUGGAACACGGGCCAGACUCCUACGGGAGGCAGCAGUGAGGAAUUUUGCGCAAUGGGGGCAACCCUGACGCAGCAACGCCGCGUGAGUGAAGAAGGCCUUCGGGUUGUAAAGCUCUGUCAAGCGGGAAGAAACUUUUUCGAACGAACAAUUCGAAAAAUUGACGGUACCGCUGAAGGAAGCACCGGCUAACUCCGUGCCAGCCGCCGCAGUAAAAC